rnacentral:rRNA from 1 species
GAUGAACGCUAGCGGGAGGCCUAAUACAUGCAAGUCGAACGGUAACAGGGUAGCAAUACCGCUGACGAGUGGCGUACGGGUGCGUAACACGUACACAACCUGCCCUAUACUGGAGGAUAGCCUCGGGAAACUGAGAUUAACCCUCCAUAACGUUGCGAAAAGGCAUCUUUUUGCAACUAAAACUCCGGUGGUAUAGGAUGGGUGUGCGUCUGAUUAGGUAGUUGGUGGGGUAACGGCUCACCAAGCCAACGAUCAGUAGCUGGUCUGAGAGGAUGAUCAGCCGCACGGGCACUGAGACACGGGCCCGACUCCUACGGGAGGCAGCAGUAGGGAAUAUUGGACAAUGGGCGCAAGCCUGAUCCAGCCAUGCCGCGUGAGUGAAGAAGGCCUCGGGUUGUAAAGCUCUUUCAGCCGGAAGAAACGACACGGGUUAAGUAACCUAGUGUGGAUGACGGUACCGGAAGAAGAAGCACCGGCUAACUACGUAGCCAGCAGCCGCGGUAAU